GCAGCUCCAGCCCAAACUCCUUGAUCAGUCGAGCAGUUCAUGCAGUACUCCCCUCUCCAAAGGAGAAAAGUGACAUUACAGCUCCCAGACUGGCAGAAUUAACACCAUGAACAUUUCGUUCCAUGAAUCUUCCUCAGUGUGCUUCAUCUCCUGACAAAAAAAGGAGGAAUGAAGUGACAUGUUGAAGACUGUGGUAACUGCUGGGCUGGUGAAUGGAGAUGAAUUUUGUCAACUUGUAUUCUGUGCCUUUGACUGUUUGAGCUCUUGGGCCCUGUGACUUCGCUGAAAGUUCAAAAAGAAAUAAACUGAGAGCCCAAUUUAUAUCAAACUCAGCUUGAGACAGGCUAUCUAGGAAAUACUGACACCACCCAUACAAAAGUUGGCAACAGCUGAAGGUCUCAAAACUGUUGCUCCUGAGCAGGGAAAUUGAAUUUGGGGGAUGUUGCAGG